rnacentral:tRNA from 1 species
AUUUUUUAUUCAAUAUGAUUCUAAACUGCAAAUUUAGAGGUAACUUUUAGUUAAAAAUUUU